rnacentral:rRNA from 1 species
CAGCAGCCACGGUAAAACGUAGGUGGCAAGCGUUGUCCGGAAUUAUUGGGCGUAAAGGGCUCGCAGGCGGUUUCUUAAGUCUGAUGUGAAAGCCCCCGGCUCAACCGGGGAGGGUCAUUGGAAACUGGGAAACUUGAGUGCGGAAGAGGAGAGUGGAAUUCCACGUGUAGCGGUGAAAUGCGUAGAGAUGUGGAGGAACACCAGUGGCGAAGGCGACUCUCUGGUCUGUAACUGACGCUGAGGUACGAAAGCAUGGGGAGCAAACAGGAUUAGAUACCCCCGUAGUCCCUGUCUCUUAUAC